rnacentral:rRNA from 1 species
UACAGAGGUCUCAAGCGUUGUUCGGAUUCAUUGGGCGUAAAGGGUGCGUAGGUGGCACCGUAAGUCAGGUGUGAAAUUUCGGAGCUUAACUCCGAAACUGCAUUUGAUACUGCGGUGCUUGAGGACUGGAGAGGAGACUGGAAUUUACGGUGUAGCAGUGAAAUGCGUAGAGAUCGUAAGGAAGACCAGUGGCGAAGGCGGGUCUCUGGACAGUUCCUGACACUGAGGCACGAAGGCCAGGGGGAGCAAAACGGGG